UAGUCCACGCCGUAAACGAUGCUUACUCGCCGUUGAGAGCAUAUAAGCUCUGAGUGGCGCAGCUAACGCGAUAAGUUGACCGCCUGGGGAGUACGCCGGCAACGGUAAAACUCAAAGGAAUUGACGGGGGCCCGCACAAGCGGUGGAGCAUGUGGUUUAAUUCGAUGCAACGCGAAAAACCUUACCUACCCUUGACAUCCUCAGAACUUGUUAGAGAUAACUUGGUGCCUUCGGGAACUGAGUGACAGGUGCCUGCAUGGCUGUCGUUCAGCUCGUGUCGUGAGAUGUUGGGUUAAGUCCCGCAACGAGCGCAACCCUUGUCCCUAGUUGCCAGCACGUAAUGGUGGGAACUCUGGAGAGACUGCCGGCGCAAGCCGCGAGGAAGGUGGGGACGACGUCAAAUCAUCAUGGGCCUUUAUGACUAGGGCUGCACACGUCCUACAAUGCGGCAUACAAACGGAAGCAAACCCGUGAGGGGGAGCAAACCCGAAAAAGUGUACGCUCAGUUCGGAUUG
rnacentral:rRNA from 1 species